UACAGAGGUCCCAAGCGUUUGUUCGGAUUCACUGGGCGUAAAGGGUGCGUAGGUGGCGAGGUAAGUCGGAUGUGAAAGCUCGGAGCUCAACUCCGAAAUGGCAUUGGAAACUACCUUGCUUGAGGGUUGGAGGGGGGACUGGAAUUCUCGGUGUAGCAGUGAAAUGCGUAGAUAUCGAGAGGAACACCAGUGGCGAAGGCGAGUCCCUGGACAACACCUGACACUGAGGCACGAAAGCUAGGGGAGCAAACAGG
rnacentral:rRNA from 1 species